UACAGAGGUCUCAAGCGUUUGUUCGGAUUCAUUGGGCGUAAAGAGCGUGUAGGCGGCCCGGUAAGUCCGCUGUGAAAGUCGGGGGGCUCAACCCUCGAAUGCCGGUGGAUACGGGGCAGGCUAGAGGCAGGUAGGGGGAGAACGGAAUUCCCGGUGUAGCGGUGAAAUGCGCAGAUAUCGGGAGGAACACCGGUGGCGAAGGCGGUUCUCUGGGCCUGUACUGACGCUGAGGAGCGAAAGCGUGGGGGAGCGAACAGG
rnacentral:rRNA from 1 species